UGCUGUUCCCGUAACAAAUGGCAGGAUCUUCACAUAAAUUGUUUGAACAUGUAACGCUGCUCUUAUUUCUUAACGAUAAGGGCUUAGGAGCUGCCCUUUUCCGAAAUGAAAGAAAUGAACCAAACGUUAUCUCUUUGUUUUAAAAAAUGAUCCCUGCAGCUACAACAACAAAAAGCCAUUAUGAUGAUCCGUAAAGGUCUCACAAGCUUUUACAGGAGAGAUUUUCUGCUCACCCACUCUGGCUACACUCCCGUUCCCUCUCCCUCUUCCCAACCCACAUGGUUCAAGCUUUAUAGGGCAGUUUAAGCUCCUAGAUACAGCUGAGCUGAAUGAACCUGGCCUGGAGGACAUGUCAGAGCUCGGAUGUAUUUCCUCUGGAUACUGUGCCUAAAACCAAGUUCUCUAGACCUUGCUCUGGUCUCAAGUGCAUCCAUCAUUAAUUAUAUAUCUAUACUCACUGUUUACACAGGUUUCUUGUUUAUCAUGACGUAUUUGCUUCGAGGCUCUGCAUCUGUUGUUAAGCCCAAUAGCAGUGUCUAUUUCUUAUGCCAAGGAAAAAAAAGUCACCAUAACUUUUCAGUACUAUGGCACAGAUCUAUCAGGCGGCUGGUGUUGGACCUCUGGCAAGCCAUGGUGAACUGCUUUUGGACUCUAUCCUGAACCAGUCGACAGAUUAGGGGGUAGAGCAGAUCCCAGACUCCAGCCUGGAGCAGGUUCCAUGUUCAGUCUUUCUCCAAGGAAAUGUUGAGCUGGACAACACGAGGUACAACUCUCUGGGCCUUUGGAACCUGUGCUUCCCAUUCUGGCAAGGGAACAAGGACAUGGACAGGUCCUUAGGUGACCUGUUGGAAUUUCCUAGUAGUCUUGUAGUUGAUGGUGCUAGUCAAGAAUAUUGUGACUUCUGCUGUUUCCAGGCCUGAUUUUUUGUGAUAUUCUUUCUUCUAACUCUAUUUGCCCCAUUAUGGCACUUGGAAAUGGUGCUGGCAGACUUUGGAAGCAGGAGCAGAAGACAAAGCUGCGAGCAAUAACCAACCUGUUGCUUUGCAAUGAAGAAAGUGCAAGGCUCCUGUUCAGACUUGCACCCCGUUCUCUCUGCUCAGACAUGCUCCACAGAAAUUUUAAGACAGAAACAUUGCUUGGAGAGCUUUCUAAGGGAUUCUGAUCAACUUACCUCCCUGUGGCCCUGUGGGACAUUUACAUGGUGGAGUGUUCGCCCUCACAGGGCGCAUAAAAGAUCCCAUCUGGACCUAGUGAAUGUGUGACUGGAAAGAAGGCAAAUGAAUAAAGCCUUCCAUGCUCUGGAGCUCCAGCAGAGAAGUGCUGCAGAUCACCUGGGAAAAUCCCAGUGCUUGACCCAGAAAUGAAGGGCUGCAGAAGCUAUUAUCAGCCUUUUCAACUACUGCCUCCUGCAAAACUGCUGUCACCCUGCUUCCAUCAGCCCUCACAAGGCCUGGAAGCUGGGCAGUGGAAGCCCCCAUCGCCUGUGGCCUAAGCACUGUUACUUUGAUGCUGCGCUCAUUGAGGGAAAUGUUCACAAGAAGAUUCAUGAGCAUUUAAAAUGUGAGUAUUAUUAGCUGACUCAGAUGCAAUGGCUUCAUGUUGUUCUUGCACGAAAUUUUACCUGAACUUGUGGAAACAUCUCCCUAUCUCUCUUCCCCCUUUCUCUCUUGCAUCCAUAGCCUCUCCAGUAUGACCAUUAAAGCAAUUCACCCUGGGCUGAGAGAGGAAUCUCUGAUUUCCUAAGCUUCACAUCUGAAGCAAGCUCUCCGCACUCCUCCAGCUACUUUGUUCACUGUUGUUAUUAGCACUGGAAAUGCUGACAGCAGCUGCUAAAGGUUAAAUGUGUUUGUAGAAAAUCAAUAGUGUGGUGCCCCAUUUUCCCUUUCCCCUCAGCUUCUCAGGGGGAAAACGGCCCCUGGAUACAUGAAGAAUAUAAGUUCACAUUUCUCCAUCUCAGAACAUGCAUUUAUGCAAGAGGCUUAAAGGAUAUCUUUUAUGAUCCUGGUACAGCGACACUUCUCUUAAUUCAGUGCUUCGAAGAGUGACAGAGGCUUCUGGAAGUGUUGGUUAUUAUGCGGGGCAUGUGUUUUAAAACGUUAAGUACCUUGAUUGUCUCUCACAUAGCUAAUGCUGUCAGCAGUUUGCACAGUGCUUUUAUGUGCCUUUUUCCUCCCUGAGACACCUGUGUUAAGUUCAGAACUGAUUCUGCUUCUGAAGCAAUUUAUUAAACAUCUUCAGUGCAUCACUUCUGUGAAGAGGUCAAUUUGUUCUUUCUGCCUAGAGAUGCAAAACUCUGGGCUUCAGUUGGUAAAUGCAAGUAUUAGGUGAAUUUCUCGCUGUUUAAGUUAAGCUUUUCUUCCAUCUACUCUCUCUAGUGAUCCCUUCCUUUAACAUAGGAAUUUUUAUUCAUGAAAUGUGGACACAUGCUACUGCACCAGUCUAGGGCAAGUGCAGUUUGGUAGCCUGGCAUGCACACGGUCUGCUCUUCACCCUCUUCUGGAGGACACAUUUUCCAGAUGACUGAAAACAUCUGUUUCUUUCUCUUAUGUUCCUUUGUCUUGCUUGCAGGGUGCCAGUAUGGUGGUGGGUUGGCACAUGCUCAUGUCAUGAGGCUCCUGGAGCACAACCAGCCUGAAGCUGGUCCCUAAAGCAGUUCGUGCACAGGCUGCUGGAUACACGUGAGGAGCCUCUGGCUUUUGGUUCUCUCUGAGCUUCGAAUAUGGCUUAUGGUGUUUGGCUAGCCCACCAGUUCUGGAGGGAACAUGUUUGCUGAAAUAAAAAUUGGAGCUGCGGCUGGAAUGUAAGUCCAAGUUAAUGAAGCAGCCUCAAAGUUGAGGAGGAAGAGAAUAAACUGCAGCUCUGAGGCACAGACCAUUGGAGAUUCCUCUUUCAAACCCUGCCUUUGCCACUCACUGGAGUUAUUUGAUUUGGGAACAAGAUAAGAAUUCACAAUAUCUGAUUUGUACAAAUAACCUGGAGGAAGGAAAAACAGUCAGAAAUACUAAUUUCAGAUAUAAUUUUCAUCUCUCUGUUUCCUAAAAGUCUUUCUCAUCUCUAAUAACAUUAAGCAAAUACAGAGCACAGAUUUUGGGGAAGUUGUGCACUGACUGACAAAUGCAUCUCCAAAUAGCCCACAGUUCAGCACUUCUUUUUCUGUCAAUAUUCCGUGACCGGGAAAGGUUUGGGCAUAAUUCUCUCCCAGUAAUCAAUCUUCUCCCUUUCUCUCUCUCUCCUUUUUUUUUUUUUCCUAGUAAGAAAUAGACCUGGAAAUUCAUUGCUGAUUUCCCAGGAGUGUUAUUCAUGCCAGUUUAUUUAUGUAUUUAUUAUUCAAGUGCAAACUAUUGCAGUUCCUUGUGGUAAACUGCAAAUCAAACUGAUGGAGGUAGAGGGCUGGCUGUCACACCAAGUGCCAUAGGGACAAGUGCCAGUGCUAUGGCUGCUACUGCCCCUGAGUGAUGAGGUGUGAGGACAAUUCUGCCUCCUUGGUGCUCAGGUCUGCCCAGGCCUUGGCUAGAGCUGGAAGAGAACAGUAUGCCUUCACAAGGAUUUAAUUGUCUUCAGCAGGACAGCUCAUUACAGCUAUGUUUUAACAUGUGAGCAUCAUAGUUUAUGAUGUUAAAGUGUUGGAGCUGCAGGUAGGAGAAAUCUAUAUUAAGGCUGAUAAAAAAGUGGCAACUUCAGUUUGGAAUGGGGUCAAUUGCAAAAAUUAAAGAUGCCUCUAAUGUAGCAUUCUUUUUAGGCCUCCUUCUUCUUAUUCCUGAUUUUUCAUGACCAUUUCUCAUAAUUUAUUCACAUCCAUAUACACAGUCCUUUGUUACUGUAUGAAAAGCCUACACAAAGGCAGUUCAUUGAUUACACAGAGGAAAAAGUGAAAUUCUUGUCAAAUGCUUAAAGAAAUCAAAUUAAAAGAGUUGUCAUUUUA